CACUGGUAAACUGCACCACAGGACGGGAGAAGAUCCACGAGGAUUACUGAGAAUACUUUGAAAAAGUGAAGAGAAGAAUACCAAGAAAUGUCACAUCAUCUGCCUCAACCUUGGCAGCUAUGAAGGAAGAUCAUUUCAGACUCAUUAGGAAGGAGUGCUCAGGUAAGCAAUACUCCUCCUAACAAGCAGCAGCACCCAGGCUGCUCAGCUAAAGGAGCGUGCAGACCUUCCACGGAACAGCAGCUGCCGCCACACUUUCUCCUGCUAAGCAAAUCUCGAAGAGUAACUGAAAAAAAUCUCUCUCACCCAUGCACACUGUGAAAGAAAAUGUUUAAAAGAUAGCAGCUGAAGGGUAUAAAAAUGAACCCAAAAGAUCUAGAGCAGUGAUGAUUUUUAAGUUGGUACUGAUGAGGCAAAAUAAAAUAUAUUCACUACAUCAAUUCCAUUAGCAAACCUAAGAAAAUGUAAAGCAACAGCAACCUCUGUAAAAUACGGCUGUGCUACCAAGGCAUAAUACAUAAGACAGUAUGAGACUCAAAUAGUAGAAAUAAACAAAGUUACUAAAAGAAUCAGUUAUCUAUCUCUGUUAUUCACAAACAAACACUUUGAAAUUGAAAACUUUUUUUUUGUAAGAAAAAUUAGCAUUUUUCUGAGCAGAAAAAUUGUGAUUGGUUCUGUUUUGUCAGAAAAUAAUUAAUAAUAAUAUCCUAGCCACUAGAGUGCCAGAUACAAAACAGUGCAUGUUUUGCAGCCAGUACUCAGAUCAUACUUGGAAGGAGUUAAUACUUCAAAGAACUUUGCCUAUAAAUAAUCCUUAUAUUUGCUUUUCUUAGGCAUUUCAGCAAUAAAUGCUUUUAACUGUACCCAGGGAAAGCAGCCAUAAUAAGACACUCACUACUGGAAGCUUUCAAAUAAGUACCUCAGUCAAAGAUGGAUGCUAUUCCAGGCAAAUGUUCCCA